rnacentral:rRNA from 1 species
AGACCCGAAACCCGGUGAUCUAGCCAUGGGCAGGUUGAAGGUUGGGUAACACUAACUGGAGGACCGAACCGACUAAUGUUGAAAAAUUAGCGGAUGACCUGUGGCUGGGGGUGAAAGGCCAAUCAAACCGGGAGAUAGCUGGUUCUCCCCGAAAGCUAUUUAGGUAGCGCCUCGUGAAUUCAUCUCCGGGGGUAGAGCACUGUUUCGGCUAGGGGGCCAUCCCGGCUUACCAACCCGAUGCAAACUGCGAAUACCGGAGAAUGUUAUCACGGGAGACACACGGCGGGUGCUAACGUCCGUCGUGAAGAGGGAAACAACCCAGACCGCCAGCUAAGGUCCCAAAGUCAUGGUUAAGUGGGAAACGAUGUGGGAAGGCCCAGACAGCCAGGAUGUUGGCUUAGAAGCAGCCAUCAUUUAAAGAAAGCGUAAUAGCUCACUGGUCGAGUCGGCCUGCGCGGAAGAUGUAACGGGGCUAAACCAUGCACCGAAGCUGCGGCAGCGAACGUAUCACUUAAAGCGAUUCAGCGGGUUACGAUUGACGGAGCGAAGCGACGUCAAAGCGUAUACAAAGUCGAGUCGGUUUAAGGAUACGUUCGUUGGGUAGGGGAGCGUUCUGUAAGCCUGCGAAGGUGGCCUGUGAGGGUUGCUGGAGGUAUCAGAAGUGCGAAUGCUGACAUAAGUAACGAUAAAGCGGGUGAAAAGCCCGCUCGCCGGAAGACCAAGGGUUCCUGUCCAAC